rnacentral:rRNA from 1 species
UGAUUAUGACGUACUUGUACUGAUUGAGAUUUUAACACGAAGUGAGUGGCGAACGGGUGAGUAACACGUGGGUAACCUGCCCAGAAGUAGGGGAUAACACCUGGAAACAGAUGCUAAUACCGUAUAACAGAGAAAACCGCAUGGUUUUCUUUUAAAAGAUGGCUCUGCUAUCACUUCUGGAUGGACCCGCGGCGUAUUAGCUAGUUGGUGAGGUAAAGGCUCACCAAGGCAGUGAUACGUAGCCGACCUGAGAGGGUAAUCGGCCACAUUGGGACUGAGACACGGCCCAGACUCCUACGGGAGGCAGCAGUAGGGAAUCUUCCACAAUGGACGCAAGUCUGAUGGAGCAACGCCGCGUGAGUGAAGAAGGGUUUCGGCUCGUAAAGCUCUGUUGUUAAAGAAGAACGUGGGUAAGAGUAACUGUUUACCCAGUGACGGUAUUUAACCAGAAAGCCACGGCUAACUACGUGCCAGCAGCCGCGGUAAUACGUAGGUGGCAAGCGUUAUCCGGAUUUAUUGGGCGUAAAGCGAGCGCAGGCGGUCUUUUAAGUCUAAUGUGAAAGCCUUCGGCUCAACCGAAGAAGUGCAUUGGAAACUGGGAGACUUGAGUGCAGAAGAGGACAGUGGAACUCCAUGUGUAGCGGUGAAAUGCGUAGAUAUAUGGAAGAACACCAGUGGCGAAGGCGGCUGUCUGGUCUGCAACUGACGCUGAGGCUCGAAAGCAUGGGUAGCGAACAGGAUUAGAUACCCUGGUAGUCCAUGCCGUAAACGAUGAUUACUAAGUGUUGGAGGGUUUCCGCCCUUCAGUGCUGCAGCUAACGCAUUAAGUAAUCCGCGUGGGGAGUACGACCGCAAUGUUGAUCUCAAAAGAAUUGACGGGGGGCCCGCACAGCGGUGGAGCAUGGUGGUUUUAUUCGAAGCUACGCGAAGCAUCCUUACCAGGUCUUGAC